UACGUAGGUGACAAGCGUUGUCCGGAUUUACUGGGCGUAAAGAGCGCGCAGGCGGUCGAUCAAGUCGAGUGUGAAAGCCCCCGGCUCAACUGGGGAGGGCCAUUCGAUACUGAUCGACUCGAAGGCAGGAGAGGGUAGUGGAAUUCCCGGUGUAGUGGUGAAAUGCGUAGAUAUCGGGAGGAACACCAGUGGCGAAGGCGACUACCUGGCCUGUUCUUGACGCUGAGGCGCGAAAGCUAGGGGAGCAAACGGG
rnacentral:rRNA from 1 species